UGUUGGUUUAUUCAAACAAUUUAGCCUGCCCACUGGCAUUAUGUUAAAGGGCCGCGGUACUUUGACCGUGCGAAGGUAGCAUAAUCAGUAGUCUUUUAAUUGGAGGCUGGAAUGAAUGGCUGCACGAGAAAUAAGCUGUCUCUUUUUUAAAAAUUGAAUUUUACUUUUAAGUGAAAAGGCUUAAAUAACUUGAAGGGACGAUAAGACCCUAUAAAACUUUACAAUUUAUUUUUAUUUCAUAAAUUUAUCAGUUUAACUUGGAUUAGUUAUAGUAUUGUUGGGUUGGGGCGACUAUUAUAUAAUUUUUAGUAACUGUAUUUUAAAUUAAUAAAUUUAUUUAGUUAACUGAUCCUUUUGUAAAGAUUAAAAGAUUAAGUUACUUUAGGGAUAACAGCGUGAUUUUUUCUGAGAGUUCUUAUCGAUGAAAUUAGUUGCGACCUCGAUGUUGAAUUAAAAUUUCUUUUAAGUGUAGCAGCUUAGUUAGUUGGUCGUUCGACCAUUAAAAUUUUACAUGAUUUGAGUUCAAACCGGUGUGAGCCAGGUUGG
rnacentral:rRNA from 1 species